AAGUGUAAUACUCCCUUGAUAUGUUUUUAAACUCUGAUAAACGUUUUUACAUAAAACAAUGGGAAAAAUGGGGUGUUACAAAAAUUAUGUUCUGUUUUGAGGCAUCAACAUGUAUCUUCAUGUGACUCCCCUAUCUUUUGCAGCUCAAGCCUUGUUUGUCCUGAAAUAACAUGGAAAAACGAAAAUCAACCAUUUCUACCCCUUUUGAAAUUGGGAAAAACUUAGGUGCAGUACCAUUGCAGUACCAUUGGUACUGUUGGUGCUGUUCACUAAUUAGAAUGUGACAUAUGGAUUAUUAAUUACCCCUCACCAAAUUGAAUUUUAAAAAACUUAACACCGUUUAGCCCUUCCGUUAUCUCUGAAUACUUCUCCUCUGUGCCCAAAACUUCGUUCUCCUCUCCACUCUGCCUCUCACCACCAUUGAGGGAUGGGACCGAAAUUCAAAUCGGAGAAGCUGAAAUCGGACCAUGGUGUGGAGGUGGCGCAUGGGGUGGAGGUGGCGCGACCGCAUGGGGUGGAGGUGGCAGCGACGGUCGUCGAAAACAGCGACAAUCAAUCGAAGGAUGGUGGCUGAUGGUGUCCGCUUACGGUCAGAGAAGCUAUGGAAAGCGGUUUCAUACACGUGGAGGAUUUGGGUUUUUUCAGUGAACUCAGGAGGUGUACCAGUGAUAAUGGGUAGGGAAAAUUGAGGGCUUCCAUUCACACUAUCUUUCUCUCCAUCUUCAGUAUGCAGCAAAUUCAGGUGCUAUACAAGACUUAAAGGAAGUGAUUGAGCUGAUAAAAAUCAAGGCUUGGAAGUGGUUAUUGGCUGUCUAACCCAAUCAUCUGCCUUGAAAGCCUAUAAACUUAUGAUAUUAAAAGCUUUGAGAGUGAAUUUGGACCUUUGCUGUGAUGGGUACCCGAGCUGGGAAUGACAGGUGAAUAUGUUGCAAGUCUAUUAUUGAGUAGAAGGGUGUGUCCAAAUGCAGCUUGUGGCACUUUGAAGAGGAAAAUCACACAAUGUGGUAGUUGUUAGCAAUUGGAUGUAGUUGUUUUUCCAUUGGUUGUAGAUUUUUUAUCUUUUUAUUAAUUAGAAUGAACUCUGGUAGUGUAGGUUCUAUGUAAUGUAGGUUGUUUUGUACCAAAUGGCAAGUGAUAUGGCUAUAUCAUUAGCAUGUAAUGAAAUGAUUUUUCUACAAUGAAUGAGAAUGGAAAUUGAUUUA